GGUGCAGUGGGGGUUGGGGUGUUCAUGCACUGGAUUUGCAUUUUGAAUGUGUGAUUUGUGUUGAAAUCCGAAUUUCUUUCUCAAUGCUUGGUCUGGCUGUGGCAAGAACCAAAAUCCCUCCUGGGCAACACUUCUCAACAGGCCAAGAUGCAGAGGGAAGAGGUUUAGUGGAACAUGGAACACACCAGAGCUUCAUAAACAUCAAGGCAGACACUUCACUAACUAAAAAUGAGUUCUAAUGGACUGAGGGGUGUAUUUUCUGCAGUGAAUCCCAUCAGGAGAUUUACCCCCAUCAGUACAAGAACUCGAAACUGAUGUGAAGAAAUCCUUUGGUUUGUGUCUUUCAACACUUCUGCUGGUUUAUUCAAGUUCUUUCUCAAGUCACUGCACUGAUGGGAAUUAGGAGCCCUCUGAAGAAAAUCCUGCAAGAACUUGCAAGUGCCCAUUGCACAAACAGACUGAAAAUACUCCAGUUACGUACUGAGACAUGACUAAGCCCAGGCACAGGAGCAUCUGUCUGCAAAAGGCCCUAAAUUGAACUCAAAAGCACUCAAAAGCCAAAGGAAUUGUGGCAUUCCCAAUGAAGACGGAUCCAAAAGCACCAACACUUACUGGUUCACCCUGGCUGCCAAACAGGUAUCUCUUUCACAGGGCAUUUGAAGGCCUCUGAGCAUUCCUAAAGGCAACAAGGAUGUGGUUUUCCAGUCACUGUUUGUUCCCGACAUCAGAGGACACAGCCACAGUGACAGGCACAGAGAGGAGAAGCAGCCCUCCCAAAAUCAGGCAGCUGAUCAGAGGCAGACUGUCUGGCUCUCCACAUAGACCUACUGGACUUCCACAAGCAAUUUUUGACUAAUUCUCGUUCCCUCCCCAGCAGGGAAUGGCUCUGUGUCAGAAAUGGCUCAGGGCCCCAGUGCUUCAGACUCCAGUAGGAAAAUCUUGGCUUAAUUUAAAGUGUACUCACCCCUGAAUUACAACUGUGUGGGUGCAGGCAGGUCCCUGAAGCAGCAACACUUGGGAUCCACGCUGUGAGAGGCAGGAAAUUUACUGUCACGCUGUGGUUUUGAGUUGUCUCUGCAGAAAACAACGAUUAUGGGACUUGUGAACAAGAUUAGGUGACAUUAAAAGGUUUUUAAAGUAA